CAGGAGGAAGGAACAACUCCAGACGCGCCACCUUAAGAGCUGUAACACUCACCGGGAAGGUCUGUAGCUUCACUCCUGAGCCAGCGAGACCACGAACCCACCAGAAGGGAGAAACUCCGAACACAUUCGAACAUCAGAAGGACCAAACUCCAGACGCGCCACCUUAAGAGCUGUAACACUCACUGCGAGGGUCCGCGGCUUCAUUCUUGAAGUCAGUGAGACCAAGAACCCACCAAUUCCGGACACAGUGGCUGGGAUUACAGGCACGUGCCACCAUGCCUGGCUAGUUUUUGUAUUUUUUGUAGAGACGGGAUUUUGCCAUGUUGCCCAGGCUGGUCUCGAACUCCUGGAGUCAAGUGAUCUGCCUGCCUCAGCCUUCCAAAGUGCUGGGAUUACAGGAAUUUAUUCUCAUUUUACAGAUGAGGAAACUGCAGCACAGAAAGUCUGUUACUUGACCAAAGUUACAUAGGUGAUAAGUGAUAGAAUGGGGAUUUGAACGUAGGCAAUUCUGUCUCAGCCCCAGCUUGUUCUCCCAUUCUAAAGAUCACAUCUUUGACUCAUUUUGUCUGCCUGAUUGCUUAUGGUGAUGCUUGGGGCCACAGGUCCUCACUGCAGACCUCCCAGGGGCAGGAGCCCUGCCCCUGAGCCCUAGACCAGGAGCCUUCCCCCUUCCUCCAAUUUUCAGCCUCUCUGCCCUGGACUCCUCCUUGGGCUGCCACCUAAUGCCAGUCUCCAAACAUUCCAGAUGCUAUCUCUCUGCUCCUGAUAUGCCUAUUAGUAAGCAACCCAUUUCCAGAAAGUGGCUGGCUCAAACUUUUGACACCCAGGAGAUCAUCCAAACCGUUUUACAUACCACAGAUCACACAGCCACAUGGAGCUGGGAAAUGUGAUCGACUUGAAGAAGAAUGAAUACGGUGAAGAUUGGAAAGAAGACAUGAGCUGAUCAACUUAGUAGGAGUAAGGAAAACCCUUUUUUUUUUUUUUUGAGACAGAGUCUCACUCUGUUACCAGGCUGGAGUGUGAUGGCGCAAUCUCCGCUUACUGCAACCUCCGCCUUCUAGGUUCAAGAGAUUCUCCUGCCUCAGCCUCCCAAGUAGCUGGGAUUACAGGCACACUCCACCAUGCCUGGCUAAUUUCUGUAUUUUUAGGCUGGGGUUUCACCAUGUUGGCCAGGAUGGUUUUGAUCUCCUGACUUCAUGAUCCGCCCGCCUCGGCCUCCCAAAGUGCUGGGAUUACAGGCAUGAGCCACUGUGCCCAGCUGGAAAACAUGUCUUUUAAAUAUCGAAGGAGAAGUGGAUACACACCAAAUCAUUUCUCUUCCCCAUUGUAUCCUAUAGGGAGCCAAAAUACUCACCUUAUAGUAGUGAAAAUCGGAGGAAAUGAUGGACCUGAGGAAAGAUGAGUCUCCAAUAAAGCAGGAUGUGGCUUGUUGUUUCUGAUCUAAUCAGGAGGUUUAGGGGCCGGCUGUGCUGAAAUGAUAUCCAUAAGCCCUAUUUGAGUGGCCCAACUGUAUUUAACCCAACCUGAAUUCACAGAAAAGUUUGUCCUUCUAGAAUCAUAGUACAUGAAGGAGUAAACCUUAAGGGGUAGGGAUGGUUGGAAAAAUUUGUGUGUCAGAUUCCUGAAAGGUUUGAUGAGAUAGGGAGGCUGCAUGUAAAUCUCAAUCUGGUUAUUUACUGGUUGUGUGAACCAGAAAAAAGUGUGCAAAUAAUAACACCUCACAGGAUUGUGGUUUUUUUGGUUGUUGUUGUUUGUUUGUUUUUGUUUUGUUUUGAGACAGGGUCUCCCUUUGUUGUCCAGGCUGGAAUGCAGUGGCACAAUCAGGGCUCACUUGAGUCUUGACCUGCUGGGCUCAGGUGAUUCUCCCACCUCAGCCUCCUGGGUGGCUGGGGCUACAGGUGCACACCACCAUGCCCAACUAAUUUUUUAAAUUUUUUUUUUGUAGAGAUGGGGUUUUGCUAUGUUUCCCAAGCUAUUCUGUAACCCCUGGGCUCAAGUUAUUCUCGACCUUCCAAAGUGUUGGGAUUACAGGUGUGAACCACUAUGCCUGGCCUCAAAGCGUUGUUAAAAGCAUUGAGACACUGUAGGUAAAACACUUAGUGCCAGGCACAUUGUAUGAGCUUAAUACAUGUUAGUUCGUGUUAACACAUAAGCAGUCUGUAGCAUGGGAUGCAAAAACUGAAAUUAUUGCAUGGUUGAACCAUAUAAUGUUGCCAGCAGUCACCUUUGACUUACAAAAAUAGUGAUUUCAUUCUCUUUGUUUCUUCCCUCCUUCCCUCUCUUCCUUCUACCUCUCUCUCUCUCUCUCUCUCUCUUUCUCUCUCUCUCUCAACAGGGUCUUACUCUAUUGCCCAGGCUGGAGUGCACUGGUGUGAUCAUAGCACAUGGCAGCUUCAAACUCCUAGUAGCUAGGACUACAGGCGUGUGCCACCAUGCCCAGCUAAUUUUUAAAUUUGUUGUACAGACAAGGUCUCUCUGCAUUGCCCAGGCUGUUCUAGAACUCCUGUUCAAGCAAUCUUCCUGCCUAGGCUGCCCAAAGUGCUGAGAUUACAGGUGUGAGCCAUGCGCCUGGCCAAUUUCAUAUAUUCCCACUAAACUUUCCUCUUCCUUCCAUAUAUAUAUAAUAUUACAUAUCUUACAUAUGUACAAAAGAUUAUAUAUUCCAUUACAUAUCUUAUAUACAUAUGAAACACAUAUAUAUGCCAUAUAUAUGAUAUGAAAUAUAUAUAGUAACAUAUAUAAACUGGGAGAUAAGGUGAUAAGUUGUAGUACUGUGCCUCACCUGCUCAUUACCCUGUGGUAAGCUCCUUAUGUCUUCAGAGAAUUCCUGGGGCAUGAAUGUGUCUCCUUGUGUAACAAGUGAUCAAUGCUUCUUUAGAAUAAAGAAAAAACCCAAACUAUGAAACAGAACUGGCAUUUUCUAAAAGGACACAAAAGCCAAGGCAAGAACAAAGGAAGCAGUACGGGAAAGUUGGGGUGUGGGGACAACUCUUUCAGAGUGAUAGGAGAGUGUGCCCAGACCUUGGCCCGCCCCGGCCACACUGCUCCCCAGACUACCUGCAUCCAUUCCCACAGUGCGCUCUUUGCUAUCUCCCUUCUAGAAACCAGACUAGGCUGAAAAGCCAGGAUAAAUGGAUAUAGUGCCCCCGAGUCUCUAAUUUCUGGGCACCUCAG
rnacentral:lncRNA from 1 species